UACGAAGGGGGCUAGCGUUGCUCGGAAUCACUGGGCGUAAAGGGUGCGUAGGCGGGUCUUUUAAGUCAGGGGUGAAAUCCUGGAGCUCAACUCCAGAACUGCCUUUGAUACUGAAGAUCUUGAGUCCGGGAGAGGUGAGUGGAACUCCGAGUGUAGAGGUGAAAUUCGUAGAUAUUCGGAAGAACACCAGUGGCGAAGGCGGCUCACUGGCCCGGUACUGACGCUGAGAUACGAAAGCGUGGGGAGCAAACAGGG
rnacentral:rRNA from 1 species